ensembl:lncRNA
CCAAGGUGGCCCCAAGGCAACCUUCUUGCAAGGACAUCCAUUGUCCCAAAGGAACCUCCUGUAGAAUGACGGAUGGGUGGCCCCACUGUGUGCACAACCAGCCCUCUUGCCAGGAUAUCCAAUGUCAGAAGGGAACCGUGUGCCAAGUGGUGGAUGGUUGGCCACGCUGUGUCCAGACAAAGACUUCCAUCAGGAGACCCUCAUGUAGUGACGUCCAGUGUUCCAAGGGGACAGUGUGCCAGUUGGUGGAUGGUUGGCCACAGUGCGUUCAACCCAAGGUGGCCCCAAGGCAGCCUUCUUGCAGGGACAUCCAUUGUCCCAAGGGAACCUCAUGUAGGAUGACGGAUGGGUGGCCCCACUGUGUGCACAACCAGCCCUCCUGUCAAGAUGUCCAAUGUCAGAAGGGAACUGUGUGCCAAAUGGUGGAUGGUUGGCCACGGUGCGUCCAAACAAAGACUUCCAUCAGGAGACCCUCAUGUAGUGAUGUCCAGUGUUCCAAGGGGACGGUGUGCCAGAUGGUCAAUGGUUGGCCACAGUGUCUCCAAGUCAAGGUGGCCCCAAGGCAACCUUCCUGCAGGGAUUUACAGUGUCCUAAAGGGACAUCAUGCAGGAUGAUGGAUGGGUGGCCCCACUGCGUGCAGAACCAGCCGUCCUGUCGUGAUGUCCAGUGUCAGAAGGGAACCAUGUGCCAAAUGGUGGAUGGAUGGCCACAAUGUGUCCAACCAAAGACUUCCGUCAGGAGACCUACUUGUAGUGAUGUCCAGUGUCCCAAAGGUACGAUGUGUCAGACGGUCAAUGGCUGGCCACAGUGCGUUCAACCCAAGGUGGCUCCAAGGCAACCCUCUUGUAACGAUAUUCAGUGUCCCAAAGGGACAUCGUGUAGGAUGACGGAUGGGUGGCCCCACUGUGUUCAGAACCCACCUUCCUGUCAUGAUGUCCAGUGUCAGAAGGGAACCGUGUGCCAAAUGGUGGAUGGUUGGCCUCAGUGUGUCCAGACAAAGACUUCUAUCAGGAGACCCAGCUGUAGUGAUGUCCACUGCUCCAAGGGGACAGUGUGUCAGUUAGUGGAUGGUUGGCCCCAGUGUGUUCAACCCAAGGUGGCCCCAAGGCAACCUUCCUGCAGAGACUUACAGUGUCCCAAAGGGACAUCAUGCAGCAUAAGAGAUGGGUGGCCCCUGUGUGUUCAGAACCAGCCCUCCUGUCGUGACGUGCAGUGUCAGAAGGGAACUGAGUGCCAAAUGGUCAAUGGUUGGCCACAGUGUGUCCAAACAAAGACUUCCAUCAGGAGACCUACUUGUAGUGAUGUCCACUGCUCCAAAGGUUCAGUGUGUCAGUUGGUGGAUGGUUGGCCACAGUGUGUUCAACCCAAGGUGGCCCCAAGGCAACCUUCCUGCAGGGAUUUACAGUGUCCUAAAGGGACAUCAUGUAGGAUGACGGACGGGUGGCCCCACUGUGUGCAGAACCAGCCGUCCUGCCAGGAUGUGCAGUGUCAGAAGGGAACUGAGUGUCAGAUGGUCAAUGGUUGGCCACAGUGCAUCCAAAUCAAGACUUCCAUCAGGAGACCUACUUGUAGUGACGUCCAGUGUUCCAAAGGGACCACGUGUCAGUUGGUAGAUGGUUGGCCACAGUGUGUUCAACCCAAGGUGGCCCCAAGGCAACCUUCUUGUACGGACAUCCAUUGUCCCAAAGGAACCUCCUGUAGAAUGACGGAUGGGUGGCCCCACUGUGUGCACAACCAGCCCUCCUGUCAAGAUGUUCAAUGUCAGAAGGGAACCGUGUGCCAAAUGGUGGAUGGUUGGCCACGGUGCGUCCAAACAAAGACUUCCAUC